UCCGCUGCUCAGUUGGUAAAGCACAAAGCUCUUAACCUUGUGGACGUGGGUUCAAAGCCCCAUGGUGGAG
rnacentral:tRNA from 1 species